rnacentral:rRNA from 1 species
AAUAUUGGACAAUGGGGGCAACCUUGAUCCAGCUAUGCCGCGUGUGUGAAGAAGGUCUUCGGAUUGUAACGCACUUUAAGUUGGGAUGAAGGGCUUUUGGUUAAUACCCUGAAGUUUUGACGUUACCAACCGAACAAGCACCGGCUAACUCUGUGCCAGCAGCCGCGGUAAUACAGAGGGUGCAAGCGUUAAUCGGAAUUACUGGGCGUAAAGCGCGCGUAGGUGGUUCAGUAAGAUGGGUGUGAAAUCACCGGGCUUAACCUGGGAACUGCUUUCAUAACUGCUGAGCUAGAGUACGGUAGAGGGUAGUGGAAUUUCCUGUGUAGCGGUGAAAUGCGUAGAUAUAGGAAGGAACACCAGUGGCGAAGGCGACUACCUGAACUGAUACUGACACUGAGGUGCGAAAGCGUGGGGAGCAAAC